GGCCUCUCCGAGCACCUGCGAGCGGGAGCUGCUCCUCCGACCCGCAGCGGGGCGUGGGCGGCAGAGGGGGCGGUGGACAGGCCUCUCCGCCUCUCCAGGCCGCGCGGAGCCAGCGCUCCGGCUCCAGGCUGCGAGGGGCGCGCGCGGGGCGCGGGGAGGGGGGCGGGCGCGUGCACACGGGGCGUUUUCGGGCGCGCGCCCCCUGGCUGGGUCUGCGGAGGGGCUGUGGGUUCCCCGGGGCUUCCCUGCCCCGCGCCUGCCCGCCGGGCGCUUCUCCCCCUCCAGGACCGCGGCCCACGUCGCCACUCGAGCCCGAGCCCGAGCCCGCGCCCACGCGCGGGGGCCGCUUCCUGCGAGGAGGCGGGGACAGGUGUCCGCGGGCGCAAACAGCGGAGUUUCGUGCGCCUAUUUUUUGGUAAAAGUAGAGGCGAUGCGUUGUUGACAUAUUUAGUGGUUAAAAACUUAUUGCCAAAUUCUCAACAGAUUCCAGAAUUUUUUAAAGUUCACAACACGAGAGUGGACGAAAUGUCGGAGCUUUUGCUCAUAUCCAGAAAUGUGGCCUCUGCCUCCCACUCGGGCCCUGCGGUGCAGACGGGUUCAGGGCGGCGAGGACUGAGCCAGGAGCGCCGAGAGUUCCAGCUGCUCCCAGGCUGGGUUCUAAUUAACGCUGGACCCCUGCUGAGAUGGAGUCUCACUCUGUCGCCCAGGCUGGAAUGCAGUGGUGCAAUCUCGGCUCACUGCGAUCUCUGCGUCCUGGGUUCAAGCAAUUCUCCUGCCUCAGCCUCCCAAGUAGCUGUGACUACAGGCAUGCACCACCACACCCAGCUAAAUUUUGUAUUUUUAGUAGAGACAGGGUUUCACUGUACAUUGGCCAGGCUGGUCUCGAUCUCCUGACCUCAAGUGAUCCACCUGUCUUGGCCUCCCAAAGUGCUGGGAUUACAGGCAUGAGCCACCGCGCCUGGCCUAACUACCCCCAUUCUUUUCCAGAGAAACGUGAACAGGCCAAACAAAGCCUCACCUGGCUAUCCCGCCACCCUGGGGUUGGGCCUCCAAAGGCCCGGGAGGUCACCUAAGACACGGUGUUCUGAACAUGCAAGCCCGACAGCAUCUUCUCUACCAUUCUGCCAGAGUCCAGAGACCUGGGAAUAGGUCAUACCCCCCACUGCAUUUUACAAGCUUGGCAUACAUUAGGUUCUCAAUAAAUACUGAAUUAAUGAAAAAAUUGCUGAAGUAACUGAAAACAUCCAUCCAAACCCCACACCAUCUGGUAGAUAAGUAGUCUGUGGGGAGUCCCAUAUUUUUCUUACCUUAGAUAUUUAUUUGGAAAUGGACUGUAGGCCCAAUAUGGUCAAUGAAACUUGCAGAGGAACAUUUCAUGCCUUUAAUUAGUUCUUCAUAACUGCAGGGACCUCUAGAGUUCCUGAAAUUGAACUGGGUUGUAAUACUGUCAAGAAAAAGGAGGACCUAUCUUAAAUCUAUUUCAAGGGUAAUACUAUUUUACUAUGUAAAUUUUCCCCUGGUCAGGGACAGCCUGAUCAUGCAUGGUAGACUCGAAGCAUGCAAAUAUUUCAACAUGCAAAACCGCCCUAAAAAUAUAACCGAAGCUUAUGGAGUUGUCCAGGGUACAGUGGUUUACUGGCCCCUGAAUGCGGGACUCCAUCAAACUGGGUUCCAGGCUGGGAGGUCUCUGAACCCAAUUUCUAGACAGCCUGCUUUGGAGUUCAACUGAUGGGACCUUAGACACCAGCCUUACCCUCUGCAAGUCUUGUGAUUUGGAGCCAGAUACUUGGCCUCUCUGUGCUCCAGGGAGACACCACUGCACCUACCUGAGAGGACUGAAGGAGAGGAUCUGUGCAACUCACUCAGGAUACUGGAUCUUAAGCCAAUGGGUGGACUUACAUUCGUCACCUCUGAUUCUGUCUCCUCCUGCGCGGUGACUUAGCAAACACUUCUUCCUCUCCAGCUCUGCUUCUUACUCUCCAGCUCUGCUGCCCUGUUCCAGUGCUGACGCCAGACAACAGAUAAUUUCCCAAAUGCUUGUAUUAGCCCUUAGGAGUUCAUGUGUUCCUCCCCCAGCCAAUAAAGCUGUUAAAUCCCAAUAACUGUCAGGAAUGGAGCCAAUUGCUAUAAAGUACUUCCAGCUUCUUGGCAUGAAGAAAUAAUUAGAAUAUAUGUGUUGGCUUUGAAACAACACUCACUGGUUCAUUAAAAAAUUCUGUGCAUAUUGUACAAAAGUAGUCUUGGCCUUGGCACUCCCUUAGGUGAACCUUACCCGGCCCUGGCACUCCCUUAGGUGAACCUUACCCGGCCCUGGCACUCCCUUAGGUGAACCUUACCUACUUCAGUGCUUCCUCAGCUCUGAUGAACUGUGUGCAAUUGCGUUUUUGUCGCAAGCUGCUGCUUAAAUACUGUGAAGCUCUUUCCUUAUGUCAGUCUCUCCACCUAUGUUACCAGCCAGCGCCUGAGACCCUCAUAUUAAGGAAACAGUGUGUUCCUAAGUCCUCUUUGAUAUUGUCCACUAUUGACUAUCGAUAGCAAACAUGCAUUGGCCAUGUGCUAAGCAUGUCAUUCCCCAAAUUUUAUUUUUUUGAGACAGUUUCGCUCUUGUUGCCCAGUGUGAAGUGGAAUGGUGUGAUCUCAGCGUACUACAACCUCCAC
rnacentral:lncRNA from 1 species